rnacentral:rRNA from 1 species
UACGUAGGUGGCGAGCGUUGUCCGGAAUUACUGGGUGUAAAGGAUGCGUAGGCGGAUGCAUAAGUCAGAUGUGAAAGCCCUGGGCUUAACCUAGGGACUGCAUUUGAAACUGUGAAUCUGGAGUACAGGAGAGGAAAGCAGAAUUUCUGGUGUAGCGGUGAAAUGCGUAGAUAUCAGGAAGAAUACCAGUGGCGAAGGCGGCUUUCUGGACUGUAACUGACGCUGAGGCAUGAAAGCGUGGGGAGCAAACAGG